UACGAAGGGGGCUAGCGUUGUUCGGAAUCACUGGGCGUAAAGGGCGCGUAGGCGGCUUUAUAAGUCGGGGGUGAAAGCCUGUGGCUCAACCACAGAAUUGCCUUCGAUACUGUAGAGCUUGAGACCGGAAGAGGUAAGUGGAACUGCGAGUGUAGAGGUGAAAAUUCGUAGAUAUUCGCAAGAACACCAGUGGCGAAGGCGGCUCACUGGCCCGAUACUGACGCUGAGGCACGAAAGCGUGGGGAGCAAACAGGG
rnacentral:rRNA from 1 species